rnacentral:rRNA from 1 species
CCCUUAGAUGUUCUGGGCCGCACGCGCGCUACAAUGGUCUUCGCAAACGGAUGCAUUCUCGAAGGAGAAUGCCAAUCUUGGAAUCUAUGCCUUGGUCGGGACAGUUGCUUGCAAUUUUUCGACUCGAACCAGGAAUUCCUUGUAAUCGUGAUUCAUCACAUCACGAUGAAUACGUCCCAGCCCUUUGUACACACCGCCCGUCGCUCCUACCGAUCGAAGAGUUAGGUGAAUUGUUUUGAUCGAUAAGAUUUGACUAUGGUCAACUCUCGUUGUGAAAUUCUGUGAAUCUGACUGUUUAGAGGAAGGAAAAGUCGUAACA